rnacentral:lncRNA from 1 species
GGGGUCGAAGUGGCAACCCAUGAAACCGAGAAUAAACGAGAGGCCUGCCCUGAGUAAAGUUGCAAAAGUUUCAGUCCAUGGACACUUGCUGCUGGAAGACAUGGGAGAGAGAGUCAAGCUACAGCAGGCCAAGAGAGGACAUACAGUUUCAAAGCUUGCCUGUGUUGCAGGAAGCAGCUGUUAUAAGCAAGCAUACUACAGACCAGGCCCUUUGCACACGGCAGUGACUUGCUCGUAUCCAGGCACUGAAUUCUUGCUGCCUGUGGGAAGCUGAGCUAUUGUCGUCUGUCGAGCUGGCUCAUCACUGGGUGUGUGUGCUGGCUGAGACAAGGCACAUGAGCAUAAAUGGAGCAUGUGCACGGCCACCAUCACUAUGGAAAUCAUGACUCUGAAGGCUGGUGCUGAGUCUAAAUGAGUUGAAAUUUGAAGAACACAUCCAUCACAUAGGUUCACACUGGUUCAGGCUUGCAUCUCAUUACUGUACCACUCUGCCUAUGUAUUAUGAAUUAAUAUAUCUAAUAAAUCCUGCAAUUAUCUUGUGAACA